rnacentral:rRNA from 1 species
AACGAACGCUGGCGGCAUGCCUAACACAUGCAAGUCGAACGGGAUCCUGGCUUCGGUCAGGUGAGAGUGGCGGACGGGUGAGUAACGCGUGGGAACCUGCCCAGUGGUGGGGGAUAACUGCGGGAAACUGCAGCUAAUACCGCAUGAUCCCGAGAGGGGAAAGAUUUAUCGCCAUUGGAGGGGCCCGCGUUCGAUUAGGU